rnacentral:rRNA from 1 species
AUGGCUUUAGUUAGAAAAUAUGGAAAGCCAGACGUAUUCCUAACAAUGACCUGCAAUCCCAACUGGGAAGAGAUCACACGUGAACUAGAGUUUGGACAAACACCACAAGAUCGCCCAGACAUUGUCGUUCGUGUUUUCAGGGCGAAGCUAGAAGAAAUGAAGAAGCAACUAUUUGAGAAGGCCAUUCUUGGAAAGGUUACGGCAUAUACAUAUGUCGUAGAGUUCCAAAAGAGGGGAUUA